GACGAACGCUGGCGGCGUGCCUAAUACAUGCAAGUAGGACGCAGUUGCGAACGGGUGAGUAACGCGUAGGUAACUACCUAUUAGAGGGGGAUAACUAUUGGCAACGAUAGCGAAUACCGCAUACUAGGAGAUGGACCUGCGAUGUAUUAGCUAGUAGGGAGGGUAAUGGCCUAACUCGGCAACUAUACAUAGCCGGCCUGAGAUGGGGAUAGGCCACACGGGGACUGAGACACGGCCCAGACUCCUACGGGAGGCAGCAGUAGGGAAUCGUCGGAAAUGGGGGGAACCCGGACCGAGCAACGCCGCGUGAGUGAAGAAGGUUUUCGGAUCGGAAAGCUCUGUUGUGAAGGAAGCGGUACUUAACCAGAAAGGGACGGCUAACUACGUGCCAGCCGCCGCGGUAAUAC
rnacentral:rRNA from 1 species